rnacentral:rRNA from 1 species
UACGAAGGGGGCGAGCGUUGUUCGGAUUUACUGGGCGUAAAGGGCGCGCAGGCGGCUCAUUUUGUCAGGCGUGAAAGCCCCGGGCUUAACCUGGGAGGUGCGUUUGAUACGGAUGGGCUAGAGUUCGGGAGAGGAGAGUGGAAUUCCCAGUGUAGAGGUGAAAUUCGUAGAUAUUGGGAAAAACACCGGUGGCGAAGGCGGCUCUCUGGACCGAGACUGACGCUGAGGCGCGAAAGCGUGGGGAGCAAACAGG